AGAGCCCCGCUAGAAAUAUAGCCCUAAGUAGUCAAUAUAGAAAUGUUUUAGUUUAUGGUGAGCAAUUAUCUCUGUUCAUUCUGGAAAAUUCUACAAAAUUUCGGUGGGGUCGUUUGAUGCUCUGCAUCUCUUGUUUUAACAAAUACUAACACAUCAAAAUUUUUUGUGGCAAGGGAAGGGCAGAGUACUUUCGACCAAUAUGCUUGUCUGAAUACUGGCGUUACUUCCAUGCCCCUGAUUGCAGCAGAAAAUAAACAUAAGUUAUGUGAAUAUGUGGAAGUUAAAGGCCAUUUCUCCAGUUUCAAACGAAUUCUAGUGCUAGAGGACGAAUGAAAUGCCCUACUUCAUUGCAGUUACGAAAUGCUAAAGGUAGUAAUUGAUCUAAACACUAACAGAAUUAUUGGUAGAAUAUUGAGAUGUAUGUGACAUAGUCCUAGAUUCUCGUACAAAGUAUUGCUAUUUAUCCCUCAACUCGAUUCAGACUCAAGAUUCAGAAAUAACGUUGAACAUCUCUAGUAAAAAGGUUCCUUCCACCCAUUCCCCUUGAUGCUCCGGAUUUGUGGAGCCAAAUGGGCUAGGAGGCCACAUUGAAGAUGUUACCCCCAUCUCUUCCAUCAUUUCCACCACAACUUUCCAGCGAUGGGCGGUCCCAUUGGGUACCACUGUACUUCACAAAGUUCCCUCUUUAGUUUUCUUACAAUCUUGGCUCCACGUCUUCCUCAUCUGAAUGGCUAGCUCUCCUCCUUAUCCAAACAGUUUGUAGAGCAAGUCGGGAAAGUAUGCUUGGCUUGUGUCUGUGCAGCUGCGUUCUUCCUCCCUCCAAUCUAUUUCUAGCAACAGCAUUCCAAAACUAUCUACAUCGGAUUUGGUAGGAUACUUCCAAAGUUCCUAGAGAAUCACUUUCGGUGCACUAUAGCCCACGGGGCCUCCUCGCAGCCGCAUGAUACGGCACUUUGUUCGCUUUGAACACACUUUGCCUAGGCCAAAAUCAGAGAUCUUUGGGUUAAACUUGUGGUCCAACAAUAUGUUAUGAGGUUUAAUAUCAAAGUAACAAUCCGUGAUCGAGCCUACGGAAGGUAAGUCAUACCUGCUAUACCAAGAGCAAUAUCUUGCAGCUUCUCCACCAAGGUAACGCCUUUCAUGGUCAAAGAUAGGAAGUUUUCGAGUGAUUGUUUGGGAAGAGCAUAAAUGAGCUCUUUCGAACUCAUCUGGACAGUAUCCUACCAAGGCGAACCACAUUGAUAUGGUGGAUUCUACCCAUUGUUCCCACUUCAUUGAUGAACGCAUCCCCUUCCCUUGCACACUGUUUGAGGAUCUGACAUCAAAAUGAACACUCACUGGAACGUCUUUCCCUUGUACACGUUCCAAAACUCCUUUCGCCGCCGGUGUCGGUGAAACGGAGCGUAGUUGUCCUUCAAUAUCUGCCUAAGAGUAUCUUGACGGCUUUAGACGUCGUAAUCCUCCAAACAUCGUGGGUAAGGGCACUGGCUGCCUCUUUCUUUAUUUUGCUUGAUCUGUAGACACAAUACAUUCCAACGACAACUCACAACAAAAGAGGAGAGACCCAGCACCAACCUGCAAUUCAAAAUUUCAAAAAUCUACCAGUGAAGAAAAGGCUGUCCUCCUCAUCAACUGAUAAUUGAAAUUAAUGGUGGGUAGAAACUUCACCGGCAACCUGUAGUUUCCUCGUCGGAUCUGUAAAAGUUUGAAGACUGUUACGGCGCCAGCUUGGGAAGUUCAUUAACUUAUCAUGUUUUUAUAGCAAACAAGAAAAGAUUGGCCAAUUAAACCAAAGAAGUCCAUCAACAAGUCUCUUAACGUGAAGUCCUUACGUAAAAAGACAAUAUGGGUUCAACAGAGAGCCUCAGAUAGAUGCCAAGACUAAACAAGAAGUUGCAUCAUGCUUGCCGAGAACAUUCUGUUCCAAUAUGGAUUUGUUCUAAAGAUAGUCAAGAGUGUAGGAAACUAGAAACAGCAAGAAUAGUACCUUUCGUUGGUAGUUUUGGGCUCUCAAAGCAUGCAGUUUCAGGUUCCGUGCUGUUUAGUCCGUCAUUCUACAAUACGUGCCGCCUGCUUUCACAGUUCCCACAAGUCGCUUUGGUCCAAUUCAAUAUAAGAAUACUCAAAAUGUCCGAUUGUCAAGAUGACAAUGGAAGUGCAUGUCAGAAAUCGUCCUGCAAGUGCUAGGGCACAUGGAAGAAAAUUGGGCAUAACUUUGUGAGUGGGGUCGCCAAGGCAAGCAAGCGAAGCCGAUAGUAAGGCUAUUUUCUUUCUGGGGGAAGUUGAUAUUUAGAACAAGUGAGGACGCUAAAUUUUCUGUAGUUAGUACCGGGAUCUGUGGAAUGGGAGUAGUAAUCUAUUGCUGAAUGGAAUGGAUAGAUAAACGGAGGGUGUUGACAAAGAGUCUUGGGAACCAUGGGGCUUAGAGACUAUAUCUUCUGAAUUUGUAGUUGAUUUUGUUGACCGAUACCAUUGACGGCAAUGGGAGCUUCAAGCCCAGGUGGUUUGCCUUUUAUCCGUUACAGAAAGAUCAGCCGGAUAGCCACAGUGCUUGGCUGAUGCUCUUUUAUCCGGAAAGGAAAGCGGAUUGUUGGCCUGGUUUUUUCCUUCACCUGGUGGCCAUGCACUUCUCAUCCGCUUGUUCUGUUACUGACAUAGUAUUUGCCUUGGAAUGAGGAGGAGGAGGGCAGGAAGACGAAUUGGGAGUAGGCAUCUUGGUUGGUAUUGUCUCGACAGAGAUAAAUGAGCUCGAGGAAGGUAAGUUUCACAAUUUCCUUUGGAGAAACAAACUAUUUUAGCUUAGCUGAGUGCGCAAUCAUUUCAGAUCCACUUUAACUUUUGUUGGGCAAUCAUUUCAGACUAAAAGUAUCGCUGCAACUGUUUCAGCACGAUAAGGCUGACUUUAACUUGACUUGGCAAUAAUUUCAGAUCAAAACUUUGUUAGCCACAUUUUAGUCUUGUGCAUCCAUUCCACAAGGUGGGUAGGGAGUCAUGAUUUUUGUCUUCUUUCGGUUCUUCUAAUUAGUAUUCGUGAUUUCGUUCCUUUGUUAAGCAGAAUUGUGGAAAGUUCAGCGAAAGGCUGCUCUUUGCCCUGUUCUGUGCCCUGUUCUUGUAACUUGCCAUGGAAAGAAAAAAUCGGUACAGUUCUUGCGGAGAAUAUCCAUAACAUCAGCUUCCCCUUUCGACUGAAAACCGACCAGAUGAUAUCUGGGGGAAAUGCGGAUUUUGAUUUUCUUGCGAGAACAACCCGUACAGUACGAACGGUAACCUUGAGAAAAUACUACGUGCAGGCCAUCGACUACAACAACAACACAAUUCGCCUCGUCGCUGUAGGCAUACGGGCAAAGAUUGUUCCACUCUUCCUCUCGAUUAAAUCCUGUCAACAAGACUUCAUAGGCUAUGAUUUGAUUAUUACGACGGUGAUACAUUGGAGAACCAAAAGCUAUUAUUAUUAUUAUUCUUACUUGGCUGUGUUCGUGGAUGUGAAAAUGCAGUGAAGCCUCCUCUUACAUAGACGGAUAUUCAUAUGUACAUCCAGCUGCUUGUGAAAAUGCACCAGGAGUUCCUCCAACCUGUCUCAAGGGGCAAUAUUCCUAUUUUCUGGUAGUAGACGUGAGGAGGAGAUAUUCCAAACUUGUGCAACGGGACGUGGUUGCUCCGGUUUCUGGUUUAUAAAUACGCAGAACAUUUCCUUCUCGGACAUCCACAAUGGGUUGGCUCAUGGAUUUGAGCUUCAGUGGUCCACGUACGGAAUUCGCCACAAAAAUUGCAUUCGGCAUACAAAAUGCUUCGAUGAUUCUCAAAAUCUCGCUGCCAUUUGCGUAAUCUAUCGUGACCCUUUAUCCUACGGAUUACUGGGUAUGGAUUUGAAGAGGUUGCGUAUUCAGACUUUCUGAUCCUUAAGGGGCCGUUGCUACCGGAUUAAAGGCGGAGGAUAAUUUUUUUCACUCGGGAUAAUUUUUUUUUCCUUGGUCGUUUGGCUCCGGAUAUAUGAGGCGGAUAAUUUCUGCCCCCGAUAAUUUAUGGCCGAAUUAGGUAGAUUAGGUGAAUAAUUUUUUUGAGUGCCUAAACCCUAACUAAAAGUUUUAUCCGGGGGACAAAGGGGUGGGGAUAAGGAAAAAAAUAUCUAAAGAGAAUAAAAUGUAUAAUUUAUAUAUAUAUCUAUAAUUUAUAUAUAUAUUAAUAAGAAAUAAAAUAUAUAUUUUUAAUAUCUAAAUUUUAUUUUUGUUUUUUCUAUAUUUUUUUUUUCUAUCCUCCACCCUUAUCCACCCAUUCUAAAAAGUAUCCAAACAAAUUUAAAAGUUAUCCCCUCUAAAAUUUAGCCCUCUCCCAUAUCCCUCCAUCAAAAGGAACCUAAAUUAAAACUCACCUUGAACUUUGGACUUUAUAGGCCUUCUAAUUAGACUUCCUCUUUCCCAAUUCAGAUGGUACAAAGGAAUUAUAAUGUGUGUAUGGACCACGUAACAGUUUUUAGUAGCCUCGUUAUAGUAAGUACUAUAAUUCUAUUAAGACGCGUAACUUCAUGAACCCUCCCGCUGAAGGUUAUGAUAAAAACAGGAAUCCUCCCUGAGAUUUAAAAAAAUUACACUUCCUCCCCUGUCAGACUUUAUUUGUCAUUAUGGCAAUCAAAUUACUAUUUUUUUGUUUGUUUUUUUUUUUUUUUUUUUUUUUUUUUUUUAUUUUUUUUUUACCCCUCCUCACUCACUCAGAGCCAUACCCACUCCACUCCCCACCACCCACUCCCCACCCCCCCCCCACCCUAUUCUUGGUUUUUCAAUUUUUUUAAAAAUCUUUUUUAUUAUUUUUUUUUAAAUCUAAUUUAAUUUCCUUUUUUAUCAAUUUUUAUUUUUCUCUGGGCUACAUAAUUUUUUAUUAUUGUUUUUUGUUUUGUUUCUUUUUUUCAUUAAUUUUAUUUUUAUUUUUAUUUUUUUAAUAAAAAAAUAGUGUUAUUACAUAAUAAACAAAAUUAAAUAAAAAAACUAUUUUUUUAUUUAUUUUUU
rnacentral:lncRNA from 1 species